GAGCUUUAAACCUAGCCACACCCAGAAUCUUUAUACCUAACUAUUAUCUGAACCCUGUAAGCUAGGCUUUAGGUUGGGGUGACCGCGGAGUAAAACAAAACCUCCGCAAUGAACGAAACUACCGUCUUAUCUAAGAAUAACCCCUCUAAGAAUUAGCACUCUAACAUAAAUGAUCCAAUUAUUGAUCAACGGACCAAGUUACCCUGGGGAUAACAGCGCAAUCCACUUCAAGAGCUCCUAUCGACAGGUGGGUUUACGACCUCGAUGUUGGAUCAGGGUAUCCCAGUGGUGUAGCAGCUACUAAUGGCUCGUUUGUUCAACGAUUAAAACCCU
rnacentral:rRNA from 1 species